rnacentral:rRNA from 1 species
AACGAACGCUGGCGGCAUGCCUAACACAUGCAAGUCGAACGAGACCUUCGGGUCUAGUGGCGCACGGGUGCGUAACGCGUGGGAACCUGCCCUAGGUUCGGAAUAACUCCCCGAAAGGGGUGCUAAUACCGGAUAAUGUCUUCGGACCAAAGAUUUAUCGCCGUUGGAUGGGCCCGCGGUGGAUUAGCUGGUUGGUAGGGUAAAAGCCUACCAAGGCGACGAUCCAUAGCUGGUCUGAGAGGAUGAUCAGCCACACUGGGACUGAGACACGGCCCAGACUCCUACGGGAGGCAGCAGUGGGGAAUAUUGGACAAUGGGCGAAAGCCUGAUCCAGCAAUGCCGCGUGAGUGAUGAAGGCCUUAGGGUUGUAAAGCUCUUUUACCCGGGAUGAUAAUGACAGUACCGGGAGAAUAAGCUCCGGCUAACUCCGUG